GACGUCGAAUAUCGACGUCAUAAACACCAAAGUUGAUCGUGUUUAUGCGUCGAAUAUCGACGUCAUAAACACAAAGUUGAUCGUGUUUAUGACGUCGAAUAUCGACGUCAUAAACACCAAAGUUGAUCGUGUUUAUGACGUCGAAUAUCGACGUCAUAAACACCAAAGUUGAUCGUGUUUAUGACGUCGAAUAUCGACGACAUAAACAAAAAAAGUUGAUCGUGUUUAUGACGUCGAAUAUCGACGUC